rnacentral:rRNA from 1 species
GACGGAGGAUGCAAGCGUUAUCCGGAAUGAUUGGGCGUAAAGCGUCCGCAGGUGGCAGUUCAAGUCUGCUGUCAAAGACCGGGGCUUAACUUCGGAAAGGCAGUGGAAACUGAACAGCUAGAGUAUGGUAGGGGCAGAGGGAAUUCCUGGUGUAGCGGUGAAAUGCGUAGAUAUCAGGAAGAACAGCGGUGGCGAAGGCGCUCUGCUGGACCAUAACUGACACUCAGGGACGAAAGCUAGGGGAGCGAAUGGG